rnacentral:tRNA from 1 species
GCCGUCUUAGCUCAGUUGGUGGAGCACCCGGCUGUUAACCGGGCGGUCGCCGGUUCGAGUCCGGCAGACGGCG